rnacentral:lncRNA from 1 species
UGGAAACAGAAGACAUGCAUCAAGGGAGAAUUCCUUAGGGAACUGGGAAAGAUUUCACACAGAAGGUAGGUUUUCAAGCCUGGGAAGCAGAGAGAUAGGAAGGAAGGCUGGGAACGUAGACAAGAACAUCGCAAGUUGUGAGUAUAGAAGACCUCUGGGAAUGAGCCUGCAUGGAAGGUAAAAGUGUGAAUCAAAGGAGUGAUGUUUUGUUUCUACAACUUUUCAUGAACUGAAGUGGAUCUCCCAGCUCCUUGUGUGAAGCAGAAAACUGUAGUUCAUCAAAAAUAAUUGGGUCAGUGAAGUGGUGGUUCACAUUCCCAAAUAUGUACAUCUGGAUUAGGGUUUUAACCUCAGAACAGAAGGUGAUGGGCAUUGAAAUUUUGGUAUAUCCGGGGUUUUGGUACUGAAAACUUCAGUUGAAUAUUGGGGUCAAAAUCCACCCUGUUCGUACAGACUUAGAAGUGG